UUAACAACAAAAAUACAGCACCCCCCUCCCCCCAUCUUGCCUCAAAAUGGUUUGAUCCUGCUCAACUUUCCCAACUCGGGCUCUGAGCCUCUACCUGCAGAGCUAAGCGCUGCCCCACAGAAGACAGACAGCCUCAUCAUGGACAUAAGAUUGUUUUUUCGAAGAAAAGAGCCAGGUUCAGCUGAAUACAAUCUAUUUGUGUAUGAUUGUCAGUCCAAAGAGGGAGAGAUGAAAAAGGGGAAGGAGAGGAGAGAGUGCAAAGUCAGGAAGAACCAGGAAGAGAACAAGGAGAGACUCUGGGAGAUGAGUGCGUGCAGACCAGGGAAAGAAAUGCUGUGCAUCACAUUUCAAAUAAAAGUCAAAAAAUAAGUCCGAGGUCCAUUUUUUUUAAAUUUAUUUAUUUUUUGGUGCUUGGUAUAGGGGGUUGGUUUACUCCAGAAACAUACAUGCUGUUUAUGUGUAUGUUGAGGAGCUGCUGUAUCUAAAUGAGUCGUCUCUUCCCAGAAAUUAGGACUACAAUAUGUUUCUUUUAAGAUUCCAGUGUAUUCCUCCUUUGCGGUGAUUCAGCAUUUAAAUAAACUUUAUCAGAUUGGAUGGUUUAGUCACAGACUUUUUCAAAAAGUGUUAUGCUUUUCUUUCACAAAUGUGGGAUUGAAACUGCAUUAAAAUGUACAAAACAAUGAAGAAAUUUAUCUUGCCUGUCUGUGCACCUCUGGGUGCUCAGCACCCCUAAACCUCUGAUCUUAGAAUCGCCCCUGAAAUUCACUCAUUUAUAAGAUUUUUCUCCUGUGCUUUUCUGUGUUUCUGGUAUUGUGGUGAUUUCUGGAUCUGACCUGUUUAAUUUCUGUCAUUUGUUCUGUCCUCACCUCUUGUAGAAUUGUAUCAGGAGUUUAACAGACAUUUCUUCUCCUUUACACACUUCUACAUCCCAACAAAUAUCAGUGGAUUAACAAUAUAUUUAGAACAGCAAGUGUACAGAAUUUGUUGUUCUCACAUUUGUUUUCUUUGUUUUUGUGUUUCUGAUGAUGUUUCUUUGUGACGUUCAGAUUGAAUGUAAGGAAUCAGCAAACUGACAAUACCUUAGAGAUUUGAAAAAGUGCAUUUCUGUUAGACUUUAGUUCAGUGUUUUUAUACAAAUGUAGAAUAUAUGCAAUUAUAUUUUAAAACAUACUUUUUAAUUGUAGGAGACUUUUCUUUGUUCAACAAGACUUAUCACCAUUAAUACAGCG